UGCUAUGUGAUAUGCAAUGCAUGGGUACAGAAGGUGGAGUGGCAAUACUGAUUUGCUUGUUCAAGCUGGAACUGGAAGCGAACAUCUGAUGCGAGUACUGCACAGUGAUGACUAGUUAGUGACGCAAUUGCUCAGAGGAGAAGAUAAGAAGCAGGUGGACGGUGCUGUUCUGGGGAUGCAACGCAGCAUGCGUGUGCGAUGCUGCUCCGAUCUUCCGGUAUCAGAAUUUGGAGCCUAUGACUUCUUAGUGCGGCCAUCGGAUAUGGGAAAAGGCAGAUUGACGUACCAUUCUGCGGUCAAUUAGAUUGAGGCUUUAACACGAUCACCCUCCCAUGGAUGU